rnacentral:rRNA from 1 species
CGGAAUGGAUAAGCGCUGAAAGCAUCUAAGCGCGAAGCCAACUUCAAGAUAAGAUUUCCCACCGCAAGGGUAAGACCCCAGAAAGACUAUCUGGUUGAUAGGUCGAAGGUGUAAGUGCAGCAAUGUAUUUAGCUUAUCGAUACUAAUAGGUCGAGGACUUGACCAAU